CAGUAGCCGCGGUAAUACGUAGGGUGCAAGCGUUAAUCGGAAUUACUGGGCGUAAAGCGUGCGCAGGCGGUUCUAUAAGACAGUUGUGAAAUCCCCGGGCUCAACCUGGGAACUGCAUUUGUGACUGUAGAGCUGGAGUGCGGCAGAGGGGGAUGGAAUUCCGCGUGUAGCAGUGAAAUGCGUAGAUAUGCGGAGGAACACCGAUGGCGAAGGCAAUCCCCUGGGCCUGCACUGAAGCUCAUGCACGAAAGCGUGGGGAGCAAACAGGAUUAGAUACCCCCGUAGUCCCUGUCUCUUAUAC
rnacentral:rRNA from 1 species